GAUAUUUUAACCAAUCCGAGAUGCCUAGUUUUCUAGUAUUUUUCUAGUAGGUAGCCGCCAUUUUAGUGUGAAAAAUUUCUGUGACAGGUGGUAGUGCGUCUCUUCAAUUCAGUAGCAUUUUUAACAUUAUUACGCUAGAUAUUAUAUAUUGGAGUCAAACUUCUUUAAUUAGUGUGUUCUUCUGGUUCCUCGAUUCCAUAGUUUCGACAUAGCGACUGUUCGCGUAUCGAAAUUUGGAGUUUGAUUGUCUGCAUCGUAAUAAUUGAACGUAGAUCUAUUUUCGUAGACAACUGGAAAUCUUCGUUUCGAGCUUUGGAUAUUAAACAUCGCAUUCGAAAGGUCGAUCCUCGAAAUGGUUUGGAACGGUUCACAAGCGAAAGCGCCCACACCAAUUGCCAGCUAAUAGUUUAAUGCUUUCUUGAUUUCUCGCUCGACCAUGGCCGUUUACUCUCGCACCAGGAGAUAGGUAAUGCGCUAACGGGAGGCGCGCAACCGACCAAGUUUCUGGCGCAGGUAAAUGUAAUGGAAAACGCUUUGGUCCCGGAAUCGAGCGACCAAACCAAUAUCAUAAUUCUCCGAUGAAUGGAGUGGAGGCUGGGCUGCCGACCAUCUGAAACGGCGUGUCCGAUCCUGUGGAAAAACGGCUCUUAAUAACGUUAUUUCGUUGGUUGUUAUGUGGACCGUGGUGAAAAGGAAAAUGUGUCGAUGUUGAGACGUGCUGGGAUGAAGAAUGAGAGGAAUUUGUGAUCUGGUUAAAAUACUUGGUCCAAAGGAAUAGGUAAAAAAUAAAAUUUUAUUUUAUUCGAUACGCAUCAUUUGUGAUAAGGAAGAUUAUUAUGGGUUUGAUAAUAAUGUAAGUAAUCGAGAUUAUGUAUAUUAUAUAUACGAGAAAGAUUAAUCCGAAUGGAGUUUCGAUGUAUUAUUUAGCUUUGAUUGAAACAACAUCAUUUUUUUAUUUUAUAAAUAUUCUUUUACACAGUGUACGUUCGAGUACUCUAUAUUUUGCGGAGAUUGCAAGAGAAUUGCGCAUCAAAGAAUUAAACGAAAAAUAGAAGAAUAACGGAAACAAAUUUCUAUGAAAAUCAAUUAACGUAGUACAGACCAAAAAAAAAAAAAAAAUAAAUAAAAAAGAUUCAAAUUCUUCAUAUGAUAUUGAGAUUAAUAAAUUUUUUUUUCAAAUUCUCUUUCUGAUUGGAUUUUUUUUAUUUAGGAGAAUAUAAUUUGGAAAAAUUGUUUUUUCCUUCCACCUAGUGGCGCCGGAUAUUCCAAAAAAAAAACAUGUUUUCAAUCCCAAACUUUGAGGGCUGUUUUCACCCUUUCCAUAUAUCGACGAUUUGCCGAUAAAACAAGAACGUGUCAAAUAUUCUUUGAUAUUUCACGAAGAAUAUUAAUAAAAUAAAAUGGUUACGAAAUAUU